UCGUAUAUAUGUGUGUGU
rnacentral:miRNA from 1 species